CAUCGCUGCAUCUGAAGUCCGGGAGGGGCACGUCCACGUCCCGCCGGAGCUCGCCCCCAAUCCCCACCACUCCGCCGCCGUUCAGGAGGAGUUCCUCGUCGACAUCAAGGCAAGGAAUACGAGGAUUUCUCGCACCUUCUGCCAGACGAGUCCCGCUGCUACUCAUGCUGACGGACAAGACUUUUCACGCAGGCUGUGCCGGGUGUGCUCGAGGACAUGUGCUCAAUCACCAUUGAUGGUAGCGCUGGCCUCAUCCUGCAGCAGCGGCAGCUAACAUGACGAGGCGCAGCAGGUCGAGAUCGACUCCGGGCACAGGCCACUGCCCACCCAAAGAUCGUCGAGGUGCAGGCGUGCAGCGCAGGUUCAGGGGAGGCCGCCAAGAGCAUGAUGUAGCAGCCGGAGAGCUCAAGACAAUGCAGAGCUUCUCACCCCCAAGGCAUGUCGCAACGACCUUGCCACUGUUGUUUAGGAGCUUGUAGACAUCGGUAUUUGAAGUUAAGGUCAAGGAGCUACUGUUGUCCCAGGCAUCGGAUGCACCACAGGUUAGCGCUUGUUGGCGCACACCGAGACCGCCAUCCCCAUCUUAGACUACAAUCUUGAAGAUCCGGUACAUGUGUUGGAAGCUCUUCCCAGAUCGCUCAACUUGACCAAGGCGGUGAGGACCGAGUUCUAGGGUGCUGCGCUCAUGUUUCCUUCCUCCAACAGGGAAGGUGGAGAAAGAUGUCGGCGGUGGCAGGGAGCAUGGGAUCGAUGGAGGAAGCUGACACUAGGAGCUUUCUUAGGUGGUCUAUGUCAAGGAAGAGCGUGUCACCCACAAUAACUGAGAGAGCAGCAUCAAAAAUAUGGGAAAAGUCGUCCAUGUGUUCAUUGCCUUCUGAGAUGAUACUUGAGGGAACUAUGCGAGUUGGCCAUCUGAUUUGUCUUCUUCCUUGCCCAGCGGCAUGCUCAGCUUCAACUUCCAGUAUACCACAACAAUAAGCAUGGCAUCUGACCAAGUGGCCACUUUUUUCAUAGCUUAUUGUUCUUUUGUUGGAAGCUACAUCAGAAAGAUGAGGCACUACGAAAAUUUCAAUAGUAUGAAAUUUUUUCAGCGUGAAGGUACUUGAGGAGACUUCCAGUUUUGACACCAGCAAAGAGAACUCCUGGAGAUGACAGAAUAAGAGGCAUUUCGGACCCCUGCAAUGGAGUGCUCUUCUUCCAGGAGAAGCAUGAUGUUGUGGUUGAGAAACAUCAAAGUAGAGGAGCAGCGGACUCCACUAUCCUCUUCUUUCCUUUCUAUCAAGUUAGUGGAUAUGCUUCUGAGGGAAGAAAGUCAGGGGACAAUGCAGUUUGUUGUGGUUAUUAAUGAUUAUCAUCAGCACUUCAUCAUUUCAAGUAUUAGUACACGCGGCAUGCCAAGAGCAUUGUCUAGAGCGUGGAGCUGUUGGAGCUGGGCGAAAGAAGCAGUGCUGCGCCGUGACACAUAUGUCGGUGGCUUGGUAUCCAACCUCCAGGUGGUGGAACUGUUUGUGUGCGUUGCCAAGAACAUAAGCAUCUGAUUUCCUCCUUCACAUCUGACCUCGCUGGCCUUCCUCGACUUCUCCUUGCAUGCGUAAUCGUGCCGUUUCGAAGUCCAGAAGCGUCACACAGAAAGAUGUCCAGCCCCAACGGUCUAUAAGAAUUCCAGCCCCAACGGUCUAUAUAAAUGGUAUACUGUUUCUGUCCUUGUAAUGUGAAUACUAGUUGACAUCUUUAAACAUCAUUGCUACUGUAAUGCUUCCAAUCAGGAGUUGUAACUGCUUCCGUUGGUGUUUUUGAACUUGCGGUUAUGGUUGGUUAGGCUUGUGUAGUAGUUGGCUAGUGUACAACUUAAAUCUAGCUUACUAGAUUGGAUCGGAAAAAGCACUCACUUAUUGUGUUUACGAAUCUGGCAAGGAAUUAACUGGUGGUGGUCUGUUUGGAUUUCGUAUGAACAUGUGGAAGAGAAGAUCGUUCCAGCCACUAAGGAGAUUUUCACAAGCGAGCUACAAUGGCUGCUGUCUUCUGCCGUGCGAUUUUCAUUCCAGACGGGCUUGCUCUUGAACUUGAGAGAUGUUACGUAGUGCAGCUAUGUGGGUGAUGUAUGUGUCGUGGAGCUUUGAGGGUAACUAGAUGGGUAUCGUCAGAUAUACAAGACUAUAUUUUGAUGUGUAGCUGAUGUUUCUUUUUUGAGCUAAUUACAGCAGUGGCUGCGUGUGGUGUUGGUUCUUGUAACCUUCCUUGAACCAAUUCUUGUACUUGAUCAUCAAUUUGUAGCUAACUAGCUAGCUUAUACAUAUUUACUUUGGUCUUCAUUGUGUGUAUGAGCAAUUUUGUUGUAAUUUUGAAUUAGAUCGUCUACA